CUGUUUCUUCAGUUUCCUAGAAGAGCCUGAAAAAGAUUGGAAGUAGGUCCUCUUAAAGGUUUGAAAGACCCGGGGGUCAGGCUGCAGCGCCAGAGCAUGGGCUCGCGCAUAACUGGGGCCGCCAGCCCCCCUCGCCGGCGGCCCUUUUAACCGCGAGCGACACGC